rnacentral:lncRNA from 1 species
UCCUCUUCUCUAAGAUCUCUCAGUCUUGCUGGUUGUGAUUUGCAAGGAAAAUUCCCAAAAAACAUUUUUGAUUUGCCAAACCUCAAUCUCCUCAACUUGGGAGGCAACCAAUUGAGUGGACAAAUUCCAAGAUCAUUGGGGAACCUCUUGCAACUCACUGUUUUAGACUUGUGGGGGAACAAAUUGAGUGGACAAAUUCCAUUGUCAAUUCUAAACCUAACGCAGUUGGAAUACUUGGUAAUAUCUGAAAAUUCUUUAGAAGGUUCUAUUCCAGAUGAGGUAACCGCUGUUCCGAAUCUAAUAUAUUUAGUCUUAUAUGACAAUUUACUCAAUGGAACACUUCCGUCAUGGUUGUAUACUGCUCCCUCCUUAAAGGGUAUAAUUCUCUCUCAAAAUCAAUUCAGUGGGCAUAUCAAAGAAUUCCAAACCAAAUCACUAGAAUAUUUAGAUCUAGAAAAUAAUAAACUCCAAGGUCCCCUUCCAUCUUCAAUAUUCCAACUUCUCAAUCUUACCGGGCUCCUUUUAUCCUCAAAUAAUCUUAGUGGUGUCAUAGAGUUUCGCAUGUUCUCAAACCUUCCAAAUCUCAAAUAUCUUUACCUUUCAUAUAACAACCUAUCCUUAACAUCUAAUUCUACUUCUACUGUUAAUCAUAUAUUGCCUAAUCUUACAGACGUACUUUUGUCAUCUUGCAAUCUUAGUGAAUUCCCCCAGUUUUUAAAAGGGCUUAAAAGUUUGGAAAGCUUAGACCUCUCUUGCAACAAAAUUGAAGGCAAGAUUCCACAGUGGAUGCAAGAGGUGGGGAAUGUCUCUUUGACUUACUUCAACGUAUCUCACAACUCUUUGACAGAAGUUGAGCACUUUCCAUGGAAGAAUAUUGAAAGGCUUGACUUAAGCUCCAAUUUGAUCAGUGGAAAUCUUCCGAUUCCAGCUUCGACCAUCAGUGUCUUUUUUAUCUCAAAUAAUAGUUUCAAUGGAGAGGUCUCUUCUUUAAUAUGCAAUGCCAGUUCUCUUCGAAUUCUUGAUUUGUCCCACAAUAACUUGAGUGGACCAAUUCCGCAAUGUUUUGGAAAUUUGAGUGACAGCCUUGAAAUCUUGAAUCUGAAGAAGAACAAGUUCUAUGGGACGAUUCCUCCAAAAUUUGCAAAGGGAUGCCGAUUGACUAAUUUCAACUUAAAUGGAAAUCUGUUAGAAGGGCCAUUGACUCCAUCCAUCCUUAAUUGUAGGGGUCUGGAAGUGCUAGAUCUUGGUAACAACAAGAUCAAUGAUACAUUUCCUCAUUGGUUGGGAAGUCUUCCACAGCUACAAGUUCUUGUAUUGAAGUCAAAUCAUAUGCAUGGUUCCUUAUGUGUCAAUAGCUCUAAGUCUAGCCCUUUUUUCUCUAAAAUCCAAAUUUUUGACCUCUCAAGUAACUAUUUUUCUGGACCCCUACCAGUGAGAUACAUCAACAGCUUCAAGGCUAUCAUAAAUGUAGAGAAGAUUGGUAGUACAGUGUCGUACAUGGGGGUGAAUGAUGAUGGAGGUGACUUCUAUACCUAUUCCAUUGGAAUUGUCAUGAAAGGGAGAGAUAUGGAAUUGGUGAAAAUUUUCACCAUGUGGAUGAUCAUUGAUCUAUCAAACAAUCAGUUUGAAGGGGGUAUUCCAGAGGUUUUUGGGAAGCUUAACUUACUGAAAGGGCUCAACCUUUCUCAUAAUAACCUUAAUGGUGGUAUCCCCACCUUAAUAGGGAAUUUGACAAGUCUUGAAUGGUUGGACCUAUCUUCAAACAGGUUGUCUGGGACGAUUCCAAAUAGAUUGGCAGAUCUGCCAUUUCUUUCGUCCUUCAAUGUUUCUGAAAAUCAACUCCAUGGUCAGAUUCCUCAAGGCAAACAGUUCAACACAUUUGGAAAUGAUUCAUAUGAAGGAAACAAGGCAUUAUGUGGAUUUCCGGUCUCAAAAGGUUGCAACAUCAUUGAGCCAGCACCUCCAAAUGUGCUUGAAAAAGAUGGCUCAAAAUCAAACAUUACUUUUGGUUGGAAAGUGGUGUUGAUAGGUUAUGGAUGCGGAGUGGUGUUCGGAAUGUCCGUGGGAUAUGUUGUUUUCCAAACUGGUAAGCCGAAAUGGUUGGUGAAUUUGGUUGAAAUCCAACAUGAGAAGAAGCGAAGAAGAAAGUCAAAGGAUGGCAGUCGCAGCAAUGGACGAAGAAGAAUCUAGUUAGUGGAAAUGAUGUUCAAGUGUUGAUGUUGUAUCUUCAUAAUUUCUUGUUUUGAAGUCUGUCAAAUUUUUUUCCUAUCGUGAAAGGCUGCAUUGCCAUGCAUCUGUCUUUUUUAUUGUAACCAUUCAUCUAUAUUUCAUUGCAUUACGUAGUAUUUGUAAGGGUUUGUUUUAAAUGUAACAUUUUGUAUGGUUCAACUAUUUAUGUCUCUUUCAUGAGUUUCAUUUUUGAGUCUCAAUAAUCUCUGCAUUCAAGAUUUUGUCAGCUUAUUAAUUGGUGGAUCAAUAAUCUUCAUGCUCAUCUCAUCAUCUUUUUCUCGAGUUAAACACAGUCACUACUAUAAUAAUUUCUUCUGUGUGGAAAAUAAUUUGGCAUUCUGCAAAUUUCCACAAUGCUUGUGGAUUACCUCUGGUUGACGGCUAUACAUAUAAAGGAAGGAAACAAGACUAUGUCAAAAUUUCCAAAAAUCAGUCAUUCAUUUUUGAACAAUUAAACAUUCCUAUUCUAUUUUUCAAAAUUGUAAAUCCUCAAAUAAUGUAAAUUAGUCCUAAAACUCAAGUUUUGAAAUCUUUACAAUUUAACCCCUUAUAGUUUCAAACUUUACUAUUUUAUGCUCAACUUUCUAAAUCUUCAUAUUUCAUGAUCAUAUAAUUUAGUUAUUACAUCAAUAUUUCAGAUUUCACUACUCAAACCCUUACUUCAUUUUGGUCCUUACUUCAAUUUUUUCAAAUUAAAUCAAUUUUCAAUUUGACUGCAUUGAUGUGAAAUUGAGGGAGCACUAAACAAUGUUGAUGCGAGUUUAGGUAAAAUUGGUGGAUCCCAUCUCCUUAGUAAUUUCUUUAUGGAAGUAGCUGCUUUCACACUGCAAACUUGAAUAGUUUGUGGUGGACGAUGAUGAAUCAUUUGACAAUCAAACACAUAAUUUUUAAACACAAAAUUAACGAUAUUUUGAAAUCAUUAUUGAAAUUAUAAUCAAAAUUAAUACAUGUUCUUUUUAUUAGCUUAAGGUCGUAAAAACCCUUCAAAAUUUUCAAAAAAAAAAAAAAUUUAAGUCCCUCUUUUUUUUUUUCUAAUUUUUAAUAAAAGUAGGGGCUUAAUUGCUUUUUUUUUUUUAAGUUUGAGGGUCUUUUUGAUGCAUUUUGAAAGUUCAAGUACCCAAUUGAGUGCAAGAAGAAAGUAGGGGCUUAAUUGCUUUUUUUUAUGUAUUUUGAACGUUCAUGUACCCAAAUGAGUGCAUAAAAAAAACAGGGGUUUAGUUGCUAUUUUUGAAAAGGGUUUGAGGGCUUUUUGCACCCUUAAACCUCUUUUCUUUUUCUAAAUUUAAUUUAGAACCAACUUUGAGUAAAGACUUGGGAAAUUUAAUUAGCAAAAUUUCUUUCCAUGUAAAUAUUUCCCCUAUUUCUUGUUGGAAUUUAAAGCAAUACAAUAUUUUUGUAGCUAGUAACAGAAAACGACAGUCAAUUAAUUCCAAGCAAUACAAAAUAUCCAGUCUGGUGGAAAAUUUGUUUGUUAGAUUCUAUUAUUCAACUUUUAAGGCAUAAGUCUGAAUAUAGGGACUAAAUUUUUAAAGUGUUGUUUAUUUUAAAAUCUAUUAAUAUAUACACACUUAGGGACCAUAUAUAUAUAUAUCAUAUAUAUAUAUAUAUAUUCCAUUCUGGAUCUUUGUCGUGUUUUGUUGGUUGGCUCUGGCCUUGUUGUUGUUUCCACUGCCUGUGGUCUCUGUUUCUAAGUCAUAUGUGGCCUUGUUUGCUAGACCUUAGUUGCUCUUCACAUGUCUUGUAUUUUGUCAAGUUAAUUGAAAUGGAAAAUAAAAGUGUUGGCAUUACAGAUUAGAGUAAAAGGAAUUAGUGUUGAAGUUGGGGUUGUUCAAUUGUUGGAAUUCAUGUGUGUAUUUUUUUGAGUAUCUGGGUCUUUGUCGUGUUUUCUUGGUUGGCUAUGGCGGCCUUCUUGUUGUUCCCACUGUCUGUGGUAUUUGUUUCUAAGUCAUAUGUGGCCUUGUAUGCUAGACCUUAGUUGCUAAGUUAAAGGGAGUGAAUAGAGCACCAUAUUUCUUCUUCUGCGUGGAAAAUAAGUUGGCAUUAUGCCAAUUUCCACAUUCAUACAUAUAAAGGAAGCAAGAGCAAGUCAAUAUACUUUGUAAUCUCAUCAAUUCUUCUUCUUUCUUUAGGGAGUUCAAAUGAAAUACAAAUUUUUGGUAAAUCAACUCUUCAUUUUUAUGAAUAAAAAUUAUAUGGUAGAAAGGAAGUGGUGUUAAUAAUAAUAAUAAUAAUAAAAAGAUUAACAAUAGAACACUAAUAAAGCAAUUUAGUCUAUGAUCUGCACAAUAUAUUACUACAAAUGUACCGUACAGAAUAUUGAAAGAAAACUAAUAAAGAAGUUCGAAAUUUAAACAAUGUUCCGCAAAUUAUGUUUAUGAUCUGCUGUAAAUUGAUAUGUUAAAUCAACUCUUCAUUUUUAUGAAUAAAAAUUAUAUGGUAAAAAGGAAGUGGUGUUAAUAAUAAUAAUAAAGAUCAACAAUAGAAAACUAAUAAAGCAAUUUAGUCUAUGAUCUGCAUAAUAUAUUACUACAAAUGUACCGUACAGAAUAUUGAAAGAAAACUAAUAAAGAAAUCCGAAAUUUUAACAAGGUUCCGCAAAUUAUGUUUAUGAUAUGAUGUAAAUUGAUAUGUCAAAUUUUGUGGCAAGUAAUAGAAAAUGACAAAUUCCACAUUCAUACAUAUAAAGGAAGCAAGAUCAAGUCAAUAUACUUUGUAAUCUCAUCACUUCUUCUUCUUUCUUUAGGGAGUUCAAAUGAAAUACAAAAUUUUGGUAAAUCAACUCUUCAUUUUUAUGAAUAAAAAUUAUAUGGUAAAAGGAAGUCUUGUUAAUAAUAAUAAUAAGAUUAACAAUAGAAAACUAAUAAAACAAUUUAUCCAAAUAUCAAAAUAAAUAUUAACUUUUUCAGAAACCAAAAUUAUUUUCUAAAAAUUAUUUUUUAAAAACUAUUUUUAGUGAAACAAACUGAGUCUUAGCCCAUAUUGUAAAUUAUUUUGUGGGUCUGGAAUUCUUGUACAUUAUGCUGCAAAAGAGUGAAAUUUCCUUACAGCUAGUCGAUCAAGUUUGGUUGAAAUUGAAUGCAUUGAUGUGAAAUUGAGGGAGCCUAAACAAUGUUGAUGCGAGUUUAGGUAAAAUUAGUGGAUCCCAUCUCCUUAGUAAUUUCUUUAAGGAAGUAUCUGCUUUCACACUGUGUUGACAACUUCCCACAGAUCAAAGGCCUGCAGGUAAGUCUUCAUAUUUACCAGCCAUAUGUGAAAACCUUCUCCAUUGAAGACUGGUGGGACUGCUGGUGAAAAUCCUGAAGAAGCCAUCAGGUUUCUUGAUUUGAAGCAACAGGUCCACUAAGAAAAGGGCUCUAGAUACCAAUUGUUGGUGUAAAAGGGCAGAAGCAAACUGAUUUAAGCUUGCUUAUACAGCAAGCCUCGAGCCUUGUAGAAGAAACAAUCUCAGCAGAAAGCAAAAAUGAAGCUUGCAGUUGGAAAAACAAGAAAACAAGGAGAGAAUUUGAAUGAAAAACAAGCUGAGUUGUUCAUUAACAUUACAACAAGGCAUAUUGCCAUUACAUAUAUCAGUUAACUUGUCAAAUAAACAAGUAAUCACCUAAUCAAUUACCUAACACCACUAAUAUGCAUUGAAACUUACAAAAUUAGCUUGCAAACAUUACAUUGCUGAUAUUUCAGUCAAUCAACAUCAAAAUUACACCAAAACAUUCACCUGCUUAGUUCAAUGUGAACUAGAUUACAAAAUGAUUAAAAUACAACUAAAACAACAAGUGGUUCAGUAACUUGAAGCUUCAGCUGCUGCACACCAUGGCUCGAUUGCCUGCUGCCAUUUCUUCUUGCAUGGCCACCUUUGCAUGGGAACUAAACUCAACAUACACGAACUAAUGCAAAUAUGCUAGUGGUUUAUUUUCCACCUAUCUGAUUUUUUAAAAUGUUCUUCAGUUACACCAGUUGAUGCAAUCUAUUAUUACCUGCCUCGUUGCAAAAAGGUUAGGAAAUAAAUUCACCGACAAUCAUUGGGAACUAAGAAACUUCGCAGCAAAGCUAGUGGCAUCAAUAUGCAAAAGGUGAAGAUUCUUUUCUUUUGGACUUAUACAUGCAUAUUCGUUUUUAUGAAUUUCAGGUGUCUGAGUUUUUAGUUAUAAACUUGGAUCUAUUCUUCAAAUCAUGUGUAUAUCAUUUUUAUGCUAUUUCACACUUGCAAAACAAAUGGUGCGAGCGUGCAUGUUAUAUGCAGAAUACAUAGAUUAAUUACAUGUGGAUCAUUAAGCAUGCCUAUGUUUGACGAUUGUGUGUGGCUACCUUUUUUUACAUGAUCCAAUUUUCGAUAUGCUUUGCUUUUAGGUUGAAUGCGGAAAAGAUUAGAACUUAAUUUCCAGCAUAAUGAUUUGUCUUGGAUAUGCAGAUUUUACAUGCAUUUCUUACAAGUCAAUAUUUUAUAGAUUUGGGCAUGUUUAUCACAAUCUUCAGCCACGUGUGACAAGGACACUGCUCCACGCUUUUUUGGACCCAACGAAAACAUUUCCCCAGUAUUACGGAGCAAUUCAAGGGUUAGCAGCCCUUGGACCCAGUGUGGUAUAAUUCUAAUCUCAAAUAUUUACUAGCAACACAAUAAGAUACUUGUUUGUGGGAUCAAUUGGUCAAAGAUAUUGCAAUGAUAGCCAUCUUUUUAAGCCCAUUUCUUUCAGAAAACUGUUUUGUCACUCUUUUCUGCAAGAUCCGAAGAAAGAAAGAACAUGGAAAUCUUUAGUCCAAAAGUGUAAAUAUGCGGUUUCUCUAUAGCUAUCUUGAUUAUGGCAUCUGUAAAGUUUGUCUUUCAUAUGUUUGGCUAACGCUUCUUCAUCCAUAUGUAGGUUCGUUUACUUAUACUACCAAACCUUGAAGCGUAUUUGCAGCUUCAUGAACCUGAAAUAAAAAGACACGAGGCCUGGUGUUUUUAUGGGGCCCUGCUGGUAAGUUUAACAUCAAAUUUGGUACCAGUUUACGAGCAUCAUUUCAUUUAUUUGCUAUAGAACUAACAACACUGCAUAAAAUUUCCACUAAAAGCGUGCAGCUGGACUGUGCAUGUAUGAUCGGCUUAAAAUGUUCCCCAGUUUGCUAGCACCCCCAACUCGGCCCGUCUGGAAAAGCAACAACAAAGUUGCGACAAGUAUGAUUUCUUCGAACCAUCAUAUUUACACUUAAUCCACAGGUCUCUUCUCCCCCUUUACGAUUUUCCUUUUUCUGAUCAAUCAAGAUAAACGAAAAGCAAGCACGGACGCCUUGAUGCAGCAGCAACCACCUGCGAAGAAAAUAGCAACUGAGAGUGCAAUAGGUAUGAUGCCAAUAAAUUCCAUGCAAACUGAUUUACAAGGGGCAGUUAGCAGCUUUUCUACCACCGUAGGAGGUUCCAAUAUCGGUGUAUCAUCAAUGUCACGGCCGUUAUCAAACGAUAACAUGCUAGGAAGGGAGGUUGGGGGUCGAGUUUCAAGGACAUCAACCGUUCUAGCUCAGGCUUGGAAGGAAGACACAGACCCAGGGAACUUGUUAGCAUCAUUAUUUGAACUUUUUGGUGAAAGUAUGUAAUUAAAAUAAUAUAUUGGCUUAACCCUCCUAAAUUAUGUAUUUUUUUCCAUCUUGGGACCUAAAUUUUUUUGGGGUCAUAAGUGGUACCUAAACUACAUUUUUUCUCCUUCAAAUUAGUAUCUUCAUUAAUUAAACCGUUAAGUCUAUUUAAAAAAGAAAGACUCGAACAACAAAUUAAUACCUAAACAGUGCUCUUUUUCUCAAGGUACCUAAUUUUUAUUUUGGCCAUAAGUACUACUAAAACUAUUCUUCCGUUACUCAUUUUACACCAAAAUGUUAUAUCGGCUGAAAAGAUUCCAACAAAUAAUAGAUUGUAUGUUAUAUAAACUUUUAAAAAUAAUUAUUAUUUAAUUAAUUUUUUAUAUUUUUCUUUCUUAUUCCUUUCUAAUGUUUGGCAAUGCUGAUAAUGUUUGAAAUUGUCCCACUUGAGGUCAAAAUACUGGUGAUUAAUUUUGGUUUUGAAUUUCACCACCUACUUCUUUGACCUAAGGGGAUAGAAAAUGUUCUUUUAUCGAUCAAAACUAGUAUUUUCAAAAACAGAUUGAUUCAACUGGUUGGAUAGGAAAUCGGUCUGGAAAUAAGGGUUGAAUCGAUUGACUUGCGACCAAAAACAAAUCAGUUGAACUAAGUUAAAAAAACUGGUUGAACUAGUUCUCUCCAUUUAUAUAUAUAUAAAUAAUAAUAGUCUUUUUUUGUACUAUAUGUCAAUUUUUAAUUGGUUAAUUUUUUUUUUCAUAUAAACUGAACGGUUUGACUAAUGACGGAGGUACCAAAUUAUAGUCUAGGUACCAAUUCAUGGGUUAAGCCUAUUUCUACAAUAGACUUUUGACUAAUGGCGGUAGUAACUUGGGAAAAAAAAAGUAGUUUAUGUACCACUUGUGACAAAAAAUAAGUUUAGGUACUAUCAUGGGAAAAUGAGUAUAAUUUAGAUACUAAUUUAUGAGUUAAGCCUAAUAUAUUUGCCACAUCAUUUUUUGAAAAUAACAGAACUUAAUAAAUUUAACGGUUAUUAUUUGAUGAUGACUAAAAUUUUUAAAUUUGAAAAGUACAUGAACUAAAAAUGACCAAAUUAAAGUAUAAAGAUUAAGUCCACAACUUUUGCAAAGUACAAGGACUAAUAGCAGAAAUUAACCUAAAUUUCAUAUGGGUCAAUUACAAUAAUAAUCACUAAACUAUUCCUUUGGUUCUAUUCUAGUCACUCAACUAUAGAGCUGCUCAUGAGCCGGGCCAGGUUAGGCCUAAGCAUGAUAUUAACGUACUUUAUGCUUGCUCAAGCUUGGCUCGGCCCGAAAUAUGAGCUUAAAAUUUCGCCUAAACUCAUCAAUAUUUGCAAAAGACUAACCCAAGCUCAUUUUAGGCAUGCCCAUAUAAUUUUUAGUUUUUUUUUUUUAAAUAUUUAUAUUAUAUUAUUUUAAGAAUUAAUAAUUUGAACUAUAGUAUUAUUAUAUAUUUAGUAUAAGUUUAUUUUUUAAUCUGUUCUAAAUUAUAUAAUAUAAAAUAUUAUACACUUAAAAACGGGCCGGGCUGGGCUCGAGCUUUAAAUGUUCAAGUCUUAACCCGGCCCAUAUUUUAAACGGGCUUAAUUUUUUUACCAAAACCCAAUUUUCGGGCCUAAUUUUUUUACUCAGACCCUCCCAAAUUUUGGGCUGCCCUUGGGCUUUGGCAAGUAGCCCAACUCAUGAACAAGUUUACUCAACUAUUAAUUUUUUCGAUUUAGUUGUUAACCUUUUCGAAAGUAAAUAUUUUAGUCAUUCUCCUAUUAGUUGUUGUUAAACGAGUGACGGAAAGCUGAUGUGGGCUUUUUUUAUUAGUCUAAUAACAAAUUUAGCCCUCCAAUGUUUACACAUUCUAUCAAUUUGAUCCUAGAUAUAAAAAAAUCAACAAAUUUAGCCCUGAAUGUUAACAAAACUUGUCAUUUUAGUUCAAAUUCUAAAAAAUUUAAUAAAUUUAACCCUUAAUAUUUUCAAAAAUUAGCAAUUUAGUUCUAAUUCUAAAAAUUUUAAUAUAUAUAUUUAAAAAAAUAUUUUUAAUCAUCUGUCUCACCCUUUGAUUUUUUAGAUGAGCUAAAAUCAAAAUGAGAUAAAAAAAAAUAAAAAGUUAAAAUGACUUUUCGUUUGUAAAGUUAAAAAAUGCUAAAUAAAUCAUUAUGUCUUUUUAGUUUUAAUUUUUUACUUGAUUAAAAGAGAAAUAAUUAACAAAUGAAAAAUAAUUAUUUCUAUAUAAAUUUAUCAAAAUUUAUAACAAAUGAUAUUUUAGAUUUGAAUUAUCAGACUAUAUAUAUAUAAGUAUACACAUUUUUAUGAAAUAAAAGAUUUUGCUAAAAGAAAAAGCAUCCAAUUUUAAGAAUGAAAAAUAUAUGGUAAAAGCAUCCAUAACUUUUCAAUGUUAAAGACAAAAAAGACUGUAACACCAAUGUUGUGGUAUUAUUUGUUGCCUAUAAAUACCAUUCCUAUCCUUCUUCUUCCUCUACCAACAUAACAUGGCCUCCUAUCUCUUUCUCUCCCUAUUCCUCUUCUUUCUCCAUCUUUAUGCUUCUUUUUCUUCUUCAGGAUCUCACUCCUGCUCUUCACUAAUCCAGUUUAAGGACUCCUUUUCCAUAAGAGAGGAUGCUUCUUUUGAUCAUUGCGAUUAUUUUGCUGGCCUUAAAUCUUAUCCCAAGACAAAUUCAUGGAAGGAGGGUACAGAUUGCUGCUCAUGGGAUGGGGUCACUUGUGACCACCUAAAUGCUCAUGUUAUUGCCCUUGACUUGAGCUGCAGUUGGCUAUAUGGCACCUUCCCUUCCAAUACCACUCUCUUCCUUCUUCCUCACCUUCAAAAACUCAACCUUGCCUACAAUGAUUUUAAUUCUUCCAAAAUUCCAUCCGAGUUCGGUCGGUUUACAAGCCUAUUCUACCUCAACCUUUCCAAUACAUGGUUUUCAGAAGUCCCAUCCCAAGUCUCCCACCUGUCAAAAUUGGUUUCACUUGAUCUUUCUGGGUUUGAUGAACUAUUAACAAUUGACAAAUAUGCUCUGGAGGGUCUUGUUCACAACCUAACCGAGGUCAGACGUCUGUUUUUGGAUGAAAUGGACAUGUCUUCAGUUAAUGCUCAUGUCUUCAUGAAUCUAUCCUCUUCUCUAAGGUCUCUCAGUCUUGUUGGUUGUGAUUUGCAAGGAAAAUUCCCAAAAAACAUUUUUGAUUUGCCAAACCUCAAUCUCCUCAACUUGGGAGGCAACCAAAACCUCAAUCUUGAUCCUUUGAAGUUCAAUCGGAGCAGCAAUCUUGAACAAUUGAUAAUUUCAGACGCAAAUAUUUGUGGAGGAUUGCCUGACUCGAUGGGGAAUCUUGUGUCCUUGAAGUUUUUAGUUCUCUCCCAUUCCAACUUAUCAGGACUGGUUCCAAGAUCACUGGGGAAUCUCUUGAAACUCACUCAUUUAGACUUGUCGGAGAACCAAUUGAGUGGACAAAUUCCAAGAAAAUUGGGGAACCUCUUGCAACUCACUCAUUUAGACUUGUCGAAGAACCAAUUGAGUGGACAAAUUCCAAGAUCAUUAGGGAACCUCUUGCAACUCACUCAUUUAGACUUGUGGCUGAACCAAUUGAGUGGACAGAUUCCAAGAUCAUUGGGGAACCUCUUGCAACUCACUGUUUUAGACUUGGGAUGGAACAAAUUGAGUGGACAAAUUCCAUUGUCAAUUCUAAACCUAACGCAGCUGGAAUACUUGACAAUAUCUAACAAUUCUUUAGAAGGUUCCAUUCCAGAUGAGGUAACCGCUUUUCAUAAUCUAAUAUAUUUAGACUUAUCUGACAAUUUACUCAAUGGAACACUGCCGUCAUGGUUGUAUACUGCUCCCUCCUUAAAGACAAUAUAUCUCUCUCAAAAUCAAUUCAGUGGGCAUAUCAAAGAAUUCCAAUCCAAAUCACUAGAAUGGAUAUGGUUAGAGAAUAAUAAACUCCAAGGUCCUCUUCCAUCUUCAAUAUUCCAACUUCUCAAUCUUACCCAACUUAGCUUAUCCUCAAAUUAUCUUAGUGGUGUCAUAGAGUUUCGCAUGUUCUCAAACCUUCCAAAUCUCGAAUAUCUUGACCUUUCAUAUAACAGCCUAUCCUUAACAUCUAAUACAACUUCUACUGUUAAUCUUACAAGCUUAUUUUUGUCAUCUUGCAAUCUUAGUGAAUUCCCCCAAUUUUUAAAAGGGCUUAAAAGUUUGGAAAGCUUAGACCUCUCUUGCAACAAAAUUGAAGGCAAGAUUCCACAGUGGAUGCGAGAGGUGGGGAAUGGCUCUUUGACUCACUUAAAUGUAUCUCACAACACUUUGACAGAAGUUGAGCACUUUCCAUGGAAGAAUAUUGAUGUUCUUGACUUAAGCUCCAAUUUGAUCAGUGGAAAUCUUCCGAUUCCAGCUUCGACCAUAAGAGUCUUUUUGAUCUCAAAUAAUAGUUUCAAUGGAGAGGUCUCUUCUUUAAUAUGCAAUGCCGCUUUUCUUGAAAUUCUUGAUUUGUCCCACAAUAACUUGAGUGGAACAAUUCCACAAUGUUUUGGAAAUUUGAGCAACAGCCUUCUAUUCUUGAAUCUGAAGAAGAACAAGUUUUAUGGGACGAUUCCUCCAGCAUUUGCAAAGGGAUGCCGAUUGAGUAAUUUCAACUUAAAUGGAAAUCUGUUAGAAGGGCCUUUGACACCAUCCAUGAUCCAUCCUUAAUUGUAAUGGUCUGGAAGUGCUAGAUCUUGGUAACAACAAGAUCAAUGAUACAUUUCCUCAUUGGUUGGGAAGUCUUCCACAGCUACAAGUUCUUGUAUUGAAGUCAAAUCAACUGCAUGGUUCCUUAUGUGUCAAUAGCUCCAAGUCUAUCCCUUUUUUCUCUAAAAUCCAAAUUUUUGAUCUCUCAAGUAAUUAUUUUUCUGGACCCCUACCAGUGAGAUACAUCAACAGCUUCAAGGCUAUCAUAAAUCUAGAGAAGAUUGGGAGUACAAUGUCGUACAUGGGGGUGUAUGCUCAGAGAGGUAGUGCCUUCUAUACCCAUUCCAUUGGAAUUGUUAUGAAAGGACAAGAUAGGGAAUUGGUGAAAAUUUUCACCAUGUGGAUGAUCAUUGAUCUAUCAAACAAUCAGUUUCAAGGGGGUAUUCCAAAGGUUAUUGUGAAGCUUAACUUGCUGAAAGGGCUCAACCUUUCUCAUAAUAACCUUAAUGGUGGUAUCCCCACCUCAAUAGGGAAUUUGACAAGUCUUGAAUGGUUAGACCUAUCUUCAAACAGUUUGUCUGGGACGAUUCCAAAUAGAUUGGCAGAUCUGCCAUUUCUUUCGUCCUUCAAUGUUUCUGAAAAUCAACUCCAUUGUCAGAUUCCUCAAGGCAAACAGUUCAACACAUUUGGAAAUGAUUCAUAUGAAGGAAACAAGGGAUUAUGUGGAUUUCCGGUCUCAAAAGGUUGCAACAUCAUUGAGCCAGCACCUCUAAAUGUGCUUGAAAAAGAUGGCUCAAAAUCAAACAUUACUUUUGGUUGGAAAGUGGUGUUGAUAGGUUAUGGAUGCGGAGUGGUGUUCGGAAUGUCCGUGGGAUAUGUUGUUUUCCAAACUGGUAAGCCGAAAUGGUUGGUGAAUUUGGUUGAAAUCCAACAUGAGAAGAAGCGAAGAAGAAAGUCAAAGGAUGGCAGUCGCAGCAAUGGAUGAAGAAGGAUCUAGUUAGUGGAAAUGAUGUUCAAGUGUUGAUGUUGUAUCUUCAUAAUUUCUUGUUUUGAAGUCUUUCAAUUUUUUUCCUAUGGUGAAAGGUUGCAUUGCCAUGCAUCUGUCUUUACUUUUGUAACAAUUCAUCUGUCAUAAUAUUAUAGAUUUUAUUGAUUUUAAUUUUUUCUCUAAUUUUUAAUAAAAAUAGGGGCAUAAUUGCUUUUUUUUUUUAAGUUUGAGAGUAUUUUUUAUGCAUUUUGAAAGUUCAAGUACCAAAUUGAGUGCAAAAAAAAAAAGAGUAGGGGCUUAAUUACUUUUUUUGAAAAUGUUUGAGAGCUUUUUUGAUGUAUCAAAUGAAAUACAAAUUUUGAGUAAAUCAACUAUUCAUUUUUAUGAAUAAAAAUUAUAUGGUAAAAAGGAAGUAGUGUUAAUAAUAAUAAAAAAGAUCAACAAUAGAAAACUAAUAAAGCAAUUUAGCCUAUGAUCUGCGCAAUAUAUUACUACAAAUGUACUGUACAAAAUAUUGAAGAAAACUAAUAAAGAAAUCUGAAAUUUUAACAAGUUCCGCAAAUAAUGUUUAUGAUUUGCUGUAAAUUGAUAUGUCAAAUUAGGCUCUCCAUCACACUUAAAAGUUUAUUUUCGAGCAAUUUAGAUAUCUUUGUUGCGUUUUUAUUUUGUUUUAGUUGUUUAUAUUAAUAAAUGAUUAGUGUGCAUUUUGAUGCUAUUUUAAGACCUGAGAUGGCCAAAUGGCACCCGGGGAAUCUAAUGAGGUUGGUGAGUGAUGCAGAGAGCCCAUGGUGGCCCGGAAGGAACGAAAAUGUUACCUAGAAAGAGGGUAUCGCAUUUCAAAGCAUGAAAGUCGUAAUACCCAUAACAAUGUUAAAAACAAGGAAGAUUGAGCCAUCAACAAUGUUAUCGUGAUACCGGUCAUAAGAUAUCGCGAUACCCAAAACUUCCAAGGAUCCCCCAAGACUGUUGUGGAUAUCGCGAUACCAAACUUUGGGUAUCGCAAUAUCAUUGAUGAGAGGAGACAAAAUAUAACUGUAGGGGUAAUCCUUUUCCAACAUGUGGAAUGGCCAUGGGAUGUGUUGUUUUCCAAACCGGUAAGGCGAAAAGGUUCGUGAAUUUGGCUGAAGACCAACAUGAGAAGAGGCGAAGAAGAAAGCCAAAAUAUAGCAAUCGCAUCAAUGGAUGAAGAAGGAUCUAGUUGGUUCAAAUGAAGUUAAAGCAUUUGUGCUGUGUCUUCAUAAUUUCUUGUUUAGUAGUCUGUCAGAAAGUUUUUCCUAUGGUGAAAAGUUGCAUUGCUAUGUGUCUGUUUUUAUGAUUGUACCAAUUCCUCUGUAUUUCAUUGCAUUUCGUACUAUUUGUAAGGGUUUAGUUCAGUGUAACAUCUUGUAUGGUGCAACUAUGUAUGUCUUCUUUCUUGAAUUUCAACUUUUAGUAAACAUUAUACUGCUCACCAUAAAAAAAAUACAUGUAGAAUUACAAAAGAUUCAAUUAUUCAAGUUUGAGUUGCAUUUAUAAACAUGUGAUGAUGAGAAUUCAUGAACAAAAGGUAUGGUUUGAGCCCUUUUGCAAUAUGCGUUUAUGUUGCAUUUACCUAUAUAUCUAUCGACAAAUUUAAGAGUAAUAUUUACAAUAGCAUUGCAGAGUAACAUAUUUACGAUUGGAUUACACAGUCAAAAGAUUGCAGCAACGAUGAGAUUAAUCCAAUUACAGGAAUUGAUAUCCUAAAUGGCUUUUAGGUACGUAGCUUCAUUGACGGUACAAACUAGUUAAAAUUUCCAGAAUUCAUGUCUUUGUUUUCCCUCAAGUAAACGUAGUCAAUACUGCAAAUGGUGUGGAAGUAUUGUACAUUGUGGCCCAAAUGUCCAAAAUUUCCACAUUGCUUGUAAAUUAAGUGAUGAAAACCAAAACUGUUUGAGGCAUCCAAUUACCCACAGAGAUAGGAAGUAAGGACGCAUGUAUAAUUAUUAUCAUUAAUUAAAGCAUAUAUAAUUACAUUAAAUAUAGGAUAAACUAUAAAAAUAAUCACUUUUAUUUACCUCAUAUUACAUUUUAGUCACUUAUGUUUGAAAUGUUACAUUUUGGUCACUUACGUUAUCGUUUUGGUACGAAGUGGUCACUCUACCGUUAAGCUCCGUUACCUCCCUAACGGCGAUUCUACGUGAUAGUCCAAAUGAGUUUUAAAUGCCAACUUAAAUGUCUUGCGUGGCUGUCUAAAUUAAAUUUAUUUAAUUAAAAACUUAUUUUCAUCUCAACAACCGGACAUUCAAGUUCGCAUUUAAAACCCAUUUAGACUGCCACGUAGGACUGCCGAUAGGGAGGUAACAGAGUUUGAUAGUAGAGUAACCACUUCAUAACAAAACGAUAAUGUAAGUGGCUAAAACAUAACAUUUCAAACAUAAGUAAUUAAAAUAUAAUAUAAGGUAAACAAGCCUUAAAUAUAUAAAUUACUAUGAUUACUAUCAAGAUAGCAUUGACCUGUUCAACAGGCGGAACCAAUAGAUCUGACCAUUUGGUGACUCUAGCAGUCGAUAAGUGUGAGUGGCAGACUGUGCAACUUGUAACUAUGUUAAUUGAUGAAAAGCUUUUUGAUAGAAGAUAAUAAACUAGUGGCAAUGGCAAACGGUUCCAAGACGAGGUGGGACACCGAGGCUUUGUGUAACAGGGGAAUAGAUGCACUCAAUGCUGGCGGCUGUUGACUUGUAUUUCUCUCUAACAAUUUAAAUCACCAGCUUGCUUCAUCCAUCUAUAAAUAAGGGUCUUCUUCAGUUUCAUAAAUGCAUAGAAAAUUAACAAGCUCAAAUUCCUUCUUUUCAUAUUCAUCUCUUUUACUUUGAAUUGCAACUUUAUCCUGCCUAAAUUCCUCAACCAUGAACCACCCAUCAGGACAGCCUCAAAAUGAACUUCCUUGGUCCGCCGGAUUCUGCGAUUGUUGCUCUGACCUGAAAACUUGUAACCCUUUCUUCUUUCUUCAAUAUCAGUUCUGUCUUUUUAAUUAUAUGAAUUAGUUUAUCAAUUAAAUAUAUGGACAUUUCAGGUUGCAUUUCAUACUGGUGCCCAUCCAUCACCUUUGGCCAGAUUGCUGAGAUUGUUGAUAAAGGGUCGACUUGUAAGUUAUUAAUUUCUAAAUUGAAAUCUUAUCAUCUUAGGUUUUGCAGACAUAUAUAUAUUUAAAGAGAUAUUAUGUAAUUAAUAAUAAUGUUGAAAAACACUGUUGGAUGGUGCAGCAUGUCGGGCAAGUAGGGCACUAUACACAUUAAUAAUGUUCAUCACCGGGUGUGGGUGCUUAUAUUCUGGCUGCUACCGAUGCAAACUGAGAAAGCAGUAUAACUUGAAAGGAGGCGAUUGUGGCGAUUGCAUGCGUCAUUUCUGCUGCGAGCCUUGUGCCUUGACACAAGAGUAUCGUGAGCUCCAGAACCGUGGAUUCGACAUGUCUAUCGGUAUGUCUACAUACCAAUAUUAUACCCCUUUUAAUUAUUCUUAAUAUAACUUCAAGUAUAUUAAUUGAGUAGCUGUAAACAAAUAUCUCCGAAUAAAUAUGUUGGUAAUGAUGAGAUAAAUUAUUGUUUGAGGUCAUUAAUUUUGUGGGGGUAUAUUUAUAUAUGCAGGUUGGCAUGCAAAUGUGGAGAAGAACCCAGGGCUGGCAAUGGCUCCAGCGGUAGAAAAAGGCAUGAGCAAAUAGAUGAUGAUGAUGAUGAGACCACUGCAUUAAUAUCAUCUUUACAUGUAACACUUAAUUCCUUGGCUUUCCAUAAUUGGUUGAUUGUACGGCUUGCCAAUUGAAUUUCAAGUUAUGUAUGUUUGUGAUUGUCAAAUAUAUUAAUAAAAAGUGUUACUAUUCAUGUUAGAUCUUCAUGAAUAAGAAUGAGAAUCGAAAAUAACUUGUAAUAUUGUGUGUGCAUGUUUGGUAUUUAGGUGAAAUACUUAGAAAGAGAGGUUGGAUUAAAUUAAUUUUUUAUUAUCAAAAUGGAUGAUUUUAAUUUUUAUAUUAAUAAAAAGAAUUAAAUAAAAUUAAUAUUUAUUGUUUUAGAAAAUGACAUCAAAUUAUUGUUUUUUAUAGUUCAAUCCAAAUAAAAUAUCUACAAAAUCAUUAAAAACUUUUAAAAUGUGACUUUGUUAAAUAGUAAAUAGCAUUUUUUUAAAAGGGUUCAUAUAUAUCGUGAUACCUAAAGUUGGCAACUUCUACUUAGUAUCUAAAUCGGUACAUAAACUUGAAAAUUGUAAGUCAACUUCGUAUUUUUAUAAGUAUGAUGAUGUUGGUGUAGUGUGAGGAAGAAGACUUGAAUGGGUUUGAUUAUUUUUAAUAAUACAGGAAUUUACAUAUUAUAAGUAAAUAGACACUCACAUUCUUUAUGUAUUAUAAGGAAGAAGACUAAGUCGAUCUACUUUGUAAUCUCAUCAAUCUUAAUUUUCUCAAUUGUUAAGGGAGUUCAAAUGAAAUACAAAAUUUUGGUAAAAAAAAGUAUCCAAUUUUGUGAAUAAAAAAUAUAUGGUAAAAAAGAUUUGGUAUCGAUACUUCGGCGCGGGUAUCAAUACUCGAUACAUUGCUUUUGGUUGGAAAGUAGUGUCUGGAACGGCCAUGGGAUGUGUUGUUUUCCAAACCGGUAAGGCGAAAAGGUUUGUGAAUUUGGUUGAAGACCAACAUGAGAAGAGGCGAAGAAGAAAACCAAAAUAUAGCAAUCGCAUCAAUGGAUGAAGAAGGAUCUAGUUGGUGCAAAUGAAGUUAAAGCAUUUGUGCUGUGUCUUCAUAAUUUCUUGUUUAGUAGUCUGUCAGAAAGUUUUUCCUAUGGUGAAAAGUUGCAUUGGUAUGUGUCUGUCUUUAUGAUUGUACCAAUUCCUCUGUAUUUCAUUGCAUUUCGUACUAUUUGUAAGGGUUUAGUUCGAGUGUAACAUCUUGUAUGGUGCAACUAUGUAUGUCUUCUUUCUUGAUUAUUGAAAUUAUAAUCAAAAUUAAUACAUGUUCUUUUUAUUAGCUUAAGGGCGUAAAAACACUUCAAAAUUUUCAAAAAAUAAAAUAAAAUUUUAAGUCCCUCUUUUUUUUACACUCAAUUGAAAUUUUUAAAAUGUAUCAAAAAUAUCUUUACAGUUCUUCAAAAAAAAAAACAAUUAAACCCCUAUUUUUUUUCCGCUCAAUUGGGUACUUGAACUUUCAUAAUGCAUCAAAAAUGCCUUAAAUUUUUUUCAAAAAAGCAAUUAAGCCCCUACUCUUAUUAAAAAUUAGAAAAAAAUCAUAAAAAUAAUAAAUUUUAGAAAAAAUUAUUAAAUUUUAAUAAAAAUUUAAAAUUUUAUUAAAAAUUAGAAUUUUUUUUUAGAAAAAUCGUCAAAAAAUAAAAAAUUAUAAAAUCCAUCAAAAAGUUUUAACAAUUAACUUUAACUAUUGAUCGUUAAAGUUAACGACCUCUAGUUUUUUCAAUUAAAGUCAUUAUGUGUCGCAACUCAACGUGACAUGUAGCGAAAAUAGAUAAAAAAGUAAAAAUCAAUAAAAGUUAUAGAAAAAUUAUAAAAUAUUUCUUUUGGUAGAAUAAUUUUUAUAAAUUUUUUUUACAAAAUUUAUAUUUCUUUACAUUUUGUAUAAUUUUCUUAUAACUUUAUAAAAUUUUAUAAAUUUUUAUAUUUCUAUAUAUUUUAAAAUUUUUUAAAAUUUUUAUAAAAUUUUACAAUUUUUAUAUAUUUUUAAUAAAUUUUUAAUAUUUGAUUUUUUAUUAAAAUUUAAUAAUAUUAUAGAUUUUAUUGAUUUUAAUUUUUUAUCUAAUUUUUAAUAAAAUUAGGGGGUUAAUUGCUUUUUUUUUAAGUUUGAGGGUCUUUUUGAUGCAUUUUGAAAGUUCAAGUACCCAAUUGACUGCAAAACAAAAAGAAAAAAAGUAGGGGCUUAAUUGCUUUUUUUGAAAAUGUUUGAGGGCUUUUUUGAUGUAUUUUGAAAGUUCAAGUACCCAAAUGAGUGCAUAAAAAGAACAGGGGUUUAGUUGCUAUUUUGAAAAAGUUUGAGGGCUUUUUGCACCUUUAAACCUCUUUUCUUUUUCUAAAUUUAAUUUAGAACCAACUUUGUGUAAAGACUUGGGAAAUUUAAUUAGCAAAAUUUCUUUCCAUGUAAAAAUUUCCCCUAUUUCUUGUUUGAAUUUAAAGCAAUACAAUAUUUUUCUAGCAAAUAAUAGAAAAUGACAGUCAAUUAAUUCCAGCAAUACAACAUUUCCAGUCUGGUGGAAAACAGCUAGGGACCAAAUUUUUAAAGUGUUGUUUACUACACACUUAGGGACCAUAUAUGUAUAUAUAUAUAUUCCAGUCUGGGUCUUUGUCGUGUUUUGUUGGUUGGCUAUGGCCUUCUUGUUGUUUCAUGGCCACUGCCCGUGAAUUAAGUCAUAUGUGGCCUUGUUUGCUAGACCUUAGUUGCUAAGUUAAAGGGAGUGAAUAGAGCACCAUAUUUCUUCUUCUGCGUGGAAAAUAAGUUGGCAUUAUGCCAAAUUCCACAUUCAUACAUAGAAAGGAAGCAAGGCCAAGUCAUUAUACUUUGUAAUCUCAUCAAUUCUAAUUAUUUCACUUCUUCAUUCUUUAGGGAGUUCAAGUGAAAUACAAAUUUUUCCACAUCCAAUCUCAUAAAUAAUCCGUCUUUGAACUUUCACAAAAAAAUAUUAAAUACCCAUUCACUUUAAUUCUACUAUUCUUAAAUCAUUCAAGUUUUGUGGAAAAUAUGCUUCUUGGAUAAAAUUAUUCAACACACAUGCCUUGAAUUUUAUGCAAUAAAAUAAAUCAAUAUAGGCCACACAUGCUUUGAAUAUUUAAGUAGUCCACAAUUUUGUUCGUUUGUGUGCAAAAUUCUACAUUGCUUGACAGCCAUACAUUCUAAGUAAAUAGACACCCACAUUGUUUACGUAUUAUGAAGAAGAAGACUAAGUCAGUCUACUUUGUAAUCUCAUCAAUCUUAAUUUUCUCAGUUAUUUAGGGAGUUCAAAUGAAAUACAAAAUUUUGGGAAAAAAAAUGUAUCCAAUUUUGUGAAUGAAAAAUAUAUGGUAAAAAGGAUUUGGUAUGGAUACUUCGGCUCGGGUAUCAAUACUCAGGGUAAGUUUAUCGAUACAUUGCUUUUGGUUGGAAAGUGGUGUUGAUAGGUGAUGACUAAAAUUUGAUAAAUUUGAAAAGUACAUGAAAUUUAACGAUUAUUGUUUGGUGAUGACUAAAAUUUUAAAAUUUGAAAAGUACAUGAACUAAAAAUGACCAAAUUAAAGUAUAAAGAUUAAGUCCACAACUUUUGCAAAGUACAAGGACUAAUAGCAGAAAUUAACCUAAAUUUCAUAUGGGUCAAUUACAAAAAUAAUCACUAAACUAUUCCUUUGGUUCUAUUCUAGUCACUCAACUAUAGAGGUGCUCAUGGGCUGAGCCAGGUCAAGCCUAAGUAUGAUAUUAAUGUAUUUUAUACUUGCUCAAGCUUGGCUCGGCCUGAAAUAUGAGCUUAAAAUUUUGCCUGAACUCAUCCAUAUUUGCAAAAGACUAACCCAAGCUCAUUUUAAGCAUGCCUAUAUAAUUUUUAAUUUUUUUUAAAUAUUUAUAUUAUAUUAUAUUAAUUAAUAAUUUAAACAUUUUUUAUUUAUUAAAAUUUUUUAUAGUCAUUUUAACAUUAUUUUAAUGUUUACAUUAUAGUAUUAUUAUAUAUUUAGUAUAAGUAUUUUUUUAAUAUGUUCUAAUUUAUAUAAUAUAAAGUAUUAUACACUUAAAAACGGGCCGGGCUGGGCUUGAGCUUUAGUUGUUACUCAACUAUUAAUUUUUUCGAUUUAGUUGUUAACCUUUUCAAAAGUAAAUAUUUUAGUCAGUCUCCUAUUAGUUGUUGUUAAAUGAGUGACGGAAAGCUAAUGUGAGCUUUUUUUAUUAGUCUAAUAACAAAUUUAGCCCUCCAAUGUUUACACAUUCUAUCAAUUUGAUCGUAAAUAUAAAAAAAAAAUCAACAAAUUUAGCCCUGAAUAUUAACAAAACUUGUCAUUUUAGUUCAAAUUCUAAAAAAUUUAAUAAAUUUAACCUUUAAUAUUUUCAAAAAAAUAGCAAUUUAGUUCUAAUUCUAAAAAUUUUAAUAUAUAUAUUUAAAAAAAUAUUUCUAAUCCUCUGUCUCACCCUUUGAUUUUUUAGAUGAGCUAAAAUCAAAAUAUAUCAUUAUGUCUUUUUGUUUUAAUGCUAAAAGAGAUAAAAAAAAAUGGAAAGCUAAAAUGGCUUUUCGUUUGUGAAGUUACAAAAUGCCAAAUAAAUUAUUAUGUCUUUUUAGUUUUAAUUUUUUACUUGAUUAAAAGAGAAAUAAUUAACGAAUGAAAAAUAAUUAUUCACAAAUAAAUUUAUCAGAAUUUAUAACAAAUGAGAUUUUAAAUUUGAAUUUAUAAAUCAAAAUUUAUAUAUAUAUAUAUAUAAAAGAAAACACAUUUUUAUGAAAUAUAAGAUUUUGUUAAAAGAAAGAGCAUAUAAAAGCAUACACGUUUUUAUGAAAUACAAGAUUUUGCUAAAAGAAAAAGCAUCCAAUUUUAAGAAUGAAAAAUAUAUGGUAAAAGCAUCCAUAACUUUUCAAUAUAAAAGAAAAAAAAGACUAACACCAAUGUUGUGGUAUUAUUUGUUGCCUAUAAAUACCAUUCCUAUCCUUCUUCUUCCUCUACAAACAUAACAUGGCCCCCUAUCUCUUUCUCUGCCUAUUCCUCUUCUUUCCCCAUCUUUAUGCUUCUUUUCUUCUUCAGAAUCUCACUCCUGCUCUUCACUAAUCCAGUUUAAGGACUCUUUUUCCAUCACAAAGGAUGCUUCCUGGUAUUUCGAUUAUAUUACUGGCCUUAAAUCUUAUCCCAAGACAAAUUCAUGGAAGGAGGGUACAGAUUGCUGCUCAUGGGAUGGGGUCACUUGUGACCACCUAAAUGCUCAUGUUAUUGCCCUUGACUUGAGCUGCAGUUGGCUAUAUGGCACCUUCCCUUCCAAUACCACUCUCUUCCUUCUUCCUCACCUUCAAAAACUCAACCUUGCCUACAAUCAUUUUAAUUCUUCCAAAAUUCCAUCCGAGUUCGGUCGGUUUACAAGCCUAUUCUACCUCAACCUUUCCAAUACAUGGUUUUCAGAAGUCCCAUCCCAAGUCUCCCACCUGUCAAAAUUGGUUUCACUUGAUCUCUCCUCUCGGAUUGAUUACUCUGGGCAAGUUACAAUUGACAAACAUGCUCUGGAGGGACUUGUUCACAACCUAACCGAGGUCAGACAUCUGUUUUUGGAUGGAAUCAACAUGACUUCUGUUAAUGCUCAUGUCUUCAUGAAUCUAUCCUCUUCUCUAAGGUCUCUCAGUCUUGCUUUUUGUGAUUUGCAAGGAAAAUUCCCAAAAAACAUUUUUGAUUUGCAAAACCUCAAUCUCCUCAACUUGAGAUACAACCAAUUGAGUGGACAAAUUCCAAGAUCAUUGGGGAACCUCUUGCAACUCACUCAUUUACACUUGUCGGGGAACCAAUUGAGUGGACAAAUUCCAUUGUCAAUUCUAAACCUAACGCAGUUGGAAUACUUGGAAAUAUCUGAAAAUUCUUUAGAAGGUUCCAUUCCAGAUGAGGUAACCGCUUUUCCUAAUCUAAUAUAUUUAUACUUAUCUGACAAUUUACUCAAUGGAACACUUCCGUCAUGGUUGUAUACUGCUCCCUGCUUAAAGGAAAUAUAUCUCUCUCAAAAUCAAUUCAGUGGGC